CAGUAGCCGCGGUAAUACGUAGGUCCCGAGCGUUGUCCGGAUUUAUUGGGCGUAAAGCGAGCGCAGGCGGUUAGAUAAGUCUGAAGUUAAAGGCUGUGGCUUAACCAUAGUACGCUUUGGAAACUGUUUAACUUGAGUGCAAGAGGGGAGAGUGGAGUUCCAUGUGUAGCGGUGAAAUGCGUAGAUAUAUGGAGGAACACCGGUGGCGAAAGCGGCUCUCUGGCUUGUAACUGACGCUGAGGCUCGAAAGCGUGGGGAGCAAACAGGAUUAGAUACCCCGGUAGUCCCUGUCUCUUAUACA
rnacentral:rRNA from 1 species